rnacentral:rRNA from 1 species
UACAGAGGGGGCAAGCGUUAUUCGGAAUUACUGGGCGUAAAGCGUGCGCAGGCGGUUUUGUAAGCCAGAUGUGAAAUCCCCGAGCUUAACUUGGGAACUGCAUUUGGGACUGCAAGGCUGGAGUACGGCAGAGGGAGGUGGAAUUCCACGUGUAGCAGUGAAAUGCGUAGAGAUGUGGAGGAACACCGAUGGCGAAGGCAGCCUCCUGGGCUAGUACUGACGCUCAUGCACGAAAGCGUGGGGAGCAAACAGG